ACAUAGGUGUGCACAUUUGAGGACAUAGCACAUGCAGGAAGAGUCUGCCAGCCUGAGUACUUUUAAUGUUCCUACUCUUGACCUUCUUCCUUAUUUUAAUAUUUAUUUUUUAGUUGUAGGUGGACACAAUACCUUUAUUUAUUUAUUUUUAUGUGGUGCUAAGGAUAGAACCCAGGGCCUUGCAUGUGCUAGGCGAGUGCUCUGCCGCUGAGUCACAACCCUAGCCCAAUCUUCUUCCUUAAAAAAAAAAAGUGGUAAAAAAAUGCACAACAUACAACUAACCAUUUUAGAGUGCACGUUCAGUUGUAUUACAUUCAUAGGUUGCACAAGAAUGGAUCUACAAAUCCAUUUUCCUCUUUCUGAUGUCUUCCAAGACUUAGACCUCUGCCUUUAUCUGCACCUAGUUCUUUCCUCAGACCUAGAAAAAGUAGACAGCCUGUCCCAAACAACUUGAUUCCUCCUUUCUCUUGUACAGAAAUUCUGACAAUCCCUAAGAUAGUUUCUUCUGAACCAAACUUUCCUCUUCUCCCAGUAGGUUCACCUUAACUCUAAGGUUUAUGAUUACCAAACUUCCAGAGCCAGCUAAAUGAGGUGUAACCCAGGUCUGUUCCCCAAAAGUAGGGCAGGCCUUCAACGUUCCCCCUGAUGUCAAUCAGUGGCUAACUGCUGAGGCCACCCUGGAAAUUCUCAGUUCUCUGGUAGCAGGGUCAGCAUCCUUCCAAGACUUGCUGCAGUUGGAUGUAGAAUGCUCUCCAGCUGUAAUUGAGUCUGUAGACAUCCUCAUUUGCCAACAACUGAAAGACCACAACAGUACCAAUGCCCAUAGGAGGGAGGCCCUCUGUGUUCUCAAGUGUGUGUGCACUCCAGUAUGGAUGGAACACCCCUGGGAGCCCAGGAAUACCAGCACUUAAUGGAGAUGAAGGACCACUGGGAGCCCAGGGUAACUACAACUACAUCAAGAUACAGGAUCACUGUGAUCCAAGAUUACUGGAAUUCCGACAGAGAGAAUGAACUAUUAUUAGCCCAAAGACAUAAGCACUCCAAUAGAGAUGUAUGACCACUAGGAACCUUUGAAGUGAUAAAGAUGAAAGAACAUAUGCUGCAAAGAUACUGGCACCCCAAUAGAAAGGGGGAAACACUGAGCCAAAAGGUAUAAACAUUGUGCUAGAGAUGGAAGAUCACAGGGCUG